CCUUUGUGAAAAGAAAGGCAAGAAAAACGAAAACGGGCAAUGGAUCUCAAAAACCCUGACACUUGUGGAAAUGUUGAUCAAGCCUCAUUCACCGACACCUGAUCCACUAAAAUUGACUGAGGACAAGGGAUUUGAUGAAACAGAUUCAGAUGAAGAAAGAUAUUAUUGCUAUAAGGUGCGGAUGCUCCGCAGAAAGACAAGAAAGAAGGCAGGAAUUCACUACCCGGAUAGAUGACCACGCUGCAAUCCUUUCUCCCCCGUUCUCCUCUUAGCAUCUUGGGAGGCAGAUCCACACGUCCGAAGUUAGUUUAAGGCUCCAUGUCCGGCACUCAAACUGCAGUGGACUCAAUGGGAGUCUAGUGACAAGGCCUUAACGCCAUCUGUCGAAACCAAUAUAAAGCCUUCUUUCCACUUACGUACAACUUGUCAGCGAUGAAAUAAUGUGUCCCA